rnacentral:tRNA from 1 species
UUAAUCCUUUUCUUUUUA